UACGUAGGUGGCAAGCGUUGUCCGGAAUUACUGGGCGUAAAGGGCUCGUAGGUGGCCAACUAAGUCAGACGUGAAAUCCCUCGGCUUAACCGGGGAACUGCGUCUGAUACUGGAUGGCUUGAGUUUGGGAGAGGGACGCGGAAUUCCAGGUGUAGCGGUGAAAUGCGUAGAUAUCUGGAGGAACACCGGUGGCGAAGGCGGCGUCCUGGACCAACACUGACACUGAGGAGCGAAAGCCAGGGGAGCGAACGGG
rnacentral:rRNA from 1 species